rnacentral:rRNA from 1 species
AUUGAACGCUGGCGGCAGGCCUAACACAUGCAAGUCGAACGGUAACAGGAAGAAGCUUGCUUCUUUGCUGACGAGUGGCGGACGGGUGAGUCAUGUCUGGGAAACUGCCUGAUGGAGGGGGAUAACUACUGGAACCGGUAGCUAAUACCGCAUAACGUCGCAAGCCCAAAGAGGGGGACCUUCGGGCCUCUUGCCAUCGGAUGUGCCCAGAUGGGAUUAGCUAGUAGGUGGGGUAACGGCUCACCUAGGCGACGAUCCCUAGCUGGUCUGAGAGGAUGACCAGCCACACUGGAACUGAGACACGGUCCAGACUCCUACGGGAGGCAGCAGUGGGGAAUAUUGCACAAUGGGCGCAAGCCUGAUGCAGCAAUGCCGCGUGUAUGAAGAAGGCCUUCGGGUUGUAAAGUACUUUCAGCGGGGAGGAAGGGAGUAAAGUUAAUACCUUCGCUCAUUGACGUUACCCGCAGAAGAAGCACCGGCUAACUCCGUG